rnacentral:lncRNA from 1 species
GUUAUACUAGUUAUAAGGAGGAUAUGAAGUUAACAGUGGAUGUAGAAAAACAAUGUAAAAUAAAAUAUUAUAACAAUACCAAAAGAAAUACAAAUAGUUUAUUUAAAAAAUAUCCAGUUAAUCAACAUAAUAAAAACCUAAUGGAGCAUUCUUUUUAUAAGAAGGAAAUACAAAGCAGUAACAGCAGUAAUAGUAUUAUUAACAGUAAUAUAUAUAACACGAAUAAUAAUAGUACUUGUAAUACAUCUGUUCAUAAUUCUUCCAUUACUAUGCAUAACAAACUAUAUUUUAAUAAUGAUAGUAGUAGUAGUAAUAUUAGUAAUAGAAAUAAUAAAUACACAUUUAACAAAAAUAAGAAAAAUUUAUUUUAUAAUAAUAAAAAAACAUAUAUGAAUGGCACGAAGAGUAAUAAUAAUACUACUAAUAACAAUGGCACUAUUAACAACAAUAUUGGUGUUAAUAACAGUGGUAGUUAUAAAUACGGUUACAAAUUUGGAUAUUACAACAUGAGCAAGGAUGUCGGCAAUAGCAAUGGAAGUAAUAAUAAUAACAUUAACAGUAAUAAUAGAAAUAGCAUUGAAGCAACAAAAAACAGCCAUCCUAACAAAUAUAACGAUAAAAAUAACACAACAAAUUAUAAAAAACAAAUUAAUAAAAAUUGUACUACACUAAUACAUAACUUUUUGUCUAAUAAUGCAAACCCUAGCAUGAACCCUAGCAUGAACCCUAGUAUGAACCCUAGCAUGAACCCUAGCAUGAACCCUAGUAUGAACCCUAACGCGAAUCCUAGCGCAAACUUUAGCGCAAACCUUAAUUCCAAUCUUAAUGCCAAUGCGAACUCUAAGUUCAACUGCCUAAAUACCAAUGUCCAAACUACAUCUGGUUCUAACAAUGACGCAAGUCAUAGUAAUUAUAAUAAUAGUAAUAAUAAUAAAAAAUUAAUUUAUAAACCGUACAAAAAUGAUAUACAAAAGGUACUAAACAGAAAUAAAUAUUCUAAAGAUCACACAAAAAAAUAUAACAACAAAACAACAAACUUUAAUUCAGUUAUUAAAAAUAAUAAUAUAAGUAUAACAUCUUCCAAUACUGAUAAUGGUACUAAUUUAAACAAUAUUGGUGCUAGUAUGGAUGAUAUUGGUACAAGUUUAAAUGUUAAAAAACUCCCACAUGAAACAAACACAAUAAUCGAUUCAGCUGUAUAUACUCCUACGAACAUACAAGAUUCAUAUAAUAAUUAUAUGAACACCAAAAAAAAAAAACCUGACUUUUCAAACAUAUUUAGUAACAAAAUGGAUACAUAUAAAUACAACUAUAAAGGAGCAAAAAAACAUGACUACAAAUUAGAACACAAUUUAGGAAAACAUACAAAUAUGCAUACAUCUGAAUUUGUUAAUAAUAAUUCUAACAUAAAAAUACAAAACAACAAAAAGAGUAGAUUUGAACAUAUAGAUUGUAAUAAUAAUAUUUUUCAGACGUAUAAAAAAAGGCGAUGCUUUUAUACCCAACCAUGUAAAACAGACACUUAAUAGUACUAACAAAGUUAAUAUUAAUAAUAAUAUUGAUAGUUUUAGUAAUAAUAACGGCAACAACGGAGGAAACAACGGAGGAAAAAGCGGAGAAAAAAAUGGAGGAAACAACGAAUGCAACAUUAGCAACAAAACCAACAGCAAUAGCAAUAGCAUAAAAAAAAAAAAUAAUAAUAAAAACUUUAGCGUAAAUUUAUGUAACUCGUGC